rnacentral:rRNA from 1 species
GUUGACCUCGGAUCAGGUAGGGAUACCCGCUGAACUUAAGCAUAUCAAUAAGCGGAGGAAAAGAAACCAACAGGGAUUGCUCUAGUAACGGCGAGUGAAGCAGCAAUAGCUCAAAUUUGAAAUCUGGCGUCUUCGGCGUCCGAGUUGUAAUUUGUAGAGGAUGCUUCUGGGCAGCCACCGACCUAAGUUCCUUGGAACAGGACGUCAUAGAGGGUGAGAAUCCCGUAUGCG